rnacentral:lncRNA from 1 species
GUGUUCAUAUUGUACUGCAAAACACUGUUGCUUCUAUUGAGGUGGGAUAUGGGUAUGGUUGGGGACAGGUUUGGUGCUAGGUUUAAGAGUGGGUUAAGGCAUAAAGAAUGGUACAACAAUUUAAUUAUAAAUGUAGUUACAGAAAGUUAUUAGUAUCAUUUAUAAAUUUAGGUAGAUAGUAGUUAAGGCCACUUGACAAAGUGGAACCGAUAUAUAUAUAUAAUAUGUUUUUUUAUUUUUAUUGUAGCAGAAAUGAGUCAAAUCAGACAAAUCAAAGAGUCUAUCAGAGCUGUGUGCAUUGAAACAUGAGCUGAAUUCCUCAAGGAAGUCAUAAAUCAGUUCUAGUGCCACAGGAACCAAGCAAGAUAACCAACCAACCAACUUGUUCACACAACAGCUUUCAACAUUAACACCAAUAGAACAAUUAUUGACAAUUUUAAUUCGAAGAAGAGAUUGUCAAAUUUAUUGUUCGUGAUUGGAAUGCAACGCUGGACAUCACAUGUAAACCCAGGAGAUCAAGUUAAAUACUUGCAUUGACUUCCCCCCCCAGCCAGUGAAACCAGACUGAAAUUCCUAAGGGGGAAGGGCUUUAAACCUUUGUCUUCACAGAAAAGUCCUUUGCCAGAGAAUGGCAAAGAAACCCUUUUUAUACAUUAUAUAUGGACCAGAAUGAACUCAAAAAAGACUUAUGAAUGAAUCAUUCCAUUGCUUAACUCCAUAUUCAUUUACGUGUAACCCACACAUUUGACUAUCAUGUAUAAUCACUUAUUGUGUAUGUCUUUUGAUAACUAUAGGAUACCUAGUCAUGUCUAGUAUUCAAAUAAUCGCAUUUUCUUGCUUGAUAUUGUCCUGACAAUCAUUUAUUUGUAAAAUAUAUCAUAAUCAUGUUAUAGGAAUCAUGUCCAAAAUUAGACCCUGUGAGGCAAGAACCACAUGCUUGGUAAGAUAAACAAAUGAUUUAUGAUACCCACCCAAAGAACAUAUCUGAUUGGUCAAGGCAACAUUUGAGGGGUGGCCAACAAGGAAGUUUUAAAUACUUUGGACCCCAUGAAAUUUUGCUUUUAGUCUGCUAUCAGUCAUGCCUGCUCUUAGCUUGUA